GAUGAACGCUCGCGGCAGGCCUAAUACAUGCAAGUCGAACGAGAUUACGAGGCUUGCUUCUUAUGAAAGUGGCGCACGGGUGCGUAACGCGUAUGCAACCUACCUUAAUCAGGGGGAUAGCCCGAAGAAAUUCGGAUUAAGACCGCAUAAAAACACAGGAUAGCAUUAUCCAAUGUUCAAAUAUUUAUAGGAUUAAGAUGGGCAUGCGUGUCAUUAGCUAGUUGGCGGGGUAACGGCCCACCAAGGCGACGAUGACUAGGGGAUCUGAGAGGAUGACCCCCCACACUGGUACUGAGACACGGACCAGACGCCUACGGGAGGCAGCAGUAAGGAAUAUUGGUCAAUGGAGGGAACUCUGAACCAGCCAUGCUGCGUGCAGGAAGACAGCCCUCUGGGUCGUAAACUGCUUUUAUUCGGGAAUAAACCUUUCUACGUGUAGGAAGCUGAAUGUACCGAAGGAAUAAGGAUCGGCUAACUCCGUG
rnacentral:rRNA from 1 species